UACGGAGGGUGCAAGCGUUAUCCGGAUUCACUGGGUUUAAAGGGUGCGUAGGUGGGCUAGUAAGUCCGUGGUGAAAUCUCUGAGCUUAACUCGGAAACUGCAUCCGAUACUGGCAGACUUGAGGAUGGUAGAGGUCGGUGGAAUACCAGGUGUACCGGUGAAAUGGGCAGAUAUCUGGUGGAACACCAGUGGCGAAGGCGGCCGACUGGGCCAAUCCUGACGCUGAGACGCGAAAGCCAGGGUAGCGAACCGG
rnacentral:rRNA from 1 species